rnacentral:lncRNA from 1 species
CGGGUGCCACAUGUGGAGCAGGAUCUGCUAACCCUUCCGGAGCACCUGAGAUCACCCCUAGUUUUUGGUGGGGUUCGUGUUGUUUAUUCUUUAGUUUUCUAUGUUGUGUCAUGUGUACUAUUGUUUUUCUGUUUGUCUUUUUCAUUUUUAGCCAUGGCGUUGUCAGUUUGUUUUAGAUUUAUGAGUUUGACUGUCCCUUUGGUAUCUUUCGUCCCUCUUUUUUUAACC